rnacentral:rRNA from 1 species
UACGAAGGGGGCUAGCGUUGCUCGGAAUCACUGGGCGUAAAGCGAGCAUAGUCGGUUAUUUAAGUCGGAUGUGAAAUCCCCGGGCUCAACCUGGGAAUUGCAUUCGAUACUGGAUAGCUAGAGUUCGGCAGAGGGAAGCGGAAUUUCUGGUGUAGCGGUGAAAUGCGUAGAUAUCAGAAGGAACAUCAGUGGCGAAAGCGGCUUCCUGGACCAGAACUGACGAUCAGGCUCGAAAGCGUGGGGAGCAAACAGG